rnacentral:tRNA from 1 species
GGGAAUUAGCUCAGUUGGCUAGAGCGUCUGACUGGCAGUCAGAAGGUCGCAGGUUCGAUUCCUGUAUUCUCC